UCGGAAAGCCGGAUGGCCGCGCGUCUUCCUUGCGAAGGCGGGAGGAAAGUCCGGGCUUCACGGAAACACGGCGCCGGCUAACGGCCGGGCAGGGCGACCUGACGGAAAGUGCUGCAGAGAUUUAAACCGCCGAUGGCCUUUAAGGCACAGGCAAGGCUGAGAAGGUGCGGUAAGAGCGCACCGCGUCGCUGGCAACAGGGACGGCAAUGGUAAACCCCGCCGGAAGCAAGACCAAAUAGGCGUCCCGCAUGGUGUUUUUCCGCACCGGGGCGCGGGUAGGUUGCUAGAGGUCUGCGGUAACGCAGAUCCCAGAUGAAUGGCUGUCCCCGACAGAACCCGGCUUACAGGCCUUCUGGCUUU
rnacentral:RNase_P_RNA from 1 species